AGCGAACGCUGGCGGCAGGCUUAACACAUGCAAGUCGAACGGGCGUAGCAAUACGUCAGUGGCAGACGGGUGAGUAACGCGUGGGAACGUACCUUUUGGUUCGGAACAACAUAGGGAAACUUGUGCUAAUACCGGAUAAGCCCUUACGGGGAAAGAUUUAUCGCCGAAAGAUCGGCCCGCGUCUGAUUAGCUAGUUGGUGAGGUAACGGCUCACCAAGGCGACGAUCAGUAGCUGGUCUGAGAGGAUGAUCAGCCACAUUGGGACUGAGACACGGCCCAAACUCCUACGGGAGGCAGCAGUGGGGAAUAUUGGACAAUGGGCGCAAGCCUGAUCCAGCCAUGCCGCGUGAGUGAUGAAGGCCCUAGGGUUGUAAAGCUCUUUUGUGCGGGAAGAUAAUGACGGUACCGCAAGAAUAAGCCCCGGCUAACUUCGUGCCAGCAGCCGCGGUAAGCUAGUCUACG
rnacentral:rRNA from 1 species